ACAGAUCGCCAGAUCGUUGAGCUCCAUUGGCGGGAUUUCGCCGUCUACGUUUCUCUUUCUUCGCGGACGAACACGCGCUGGGCCUGCACGCAGCAGGAUCCAGGGUCCUUAACGGGAUAUGCGUUAGGGGCUUGUAGCUCAGUUGGUUAGAGCGCGCGCUUGAUAAGCGUGAGGUCGGAAGUUCAAGUCUUCCCAGGCCCACCACUUUCAUCGAGUGAGCAUUCGUCUUCUGGUUACGGGGCCAUAGCUCAGCUGGGAGAGCGCGUGCUUUGCAAGCAUGAGGUCGUCGGUUCGAUCCCGUCUGGCUCCACCAGAUGGUUUGAUCACCGAGGUCAUGCACCGUCGUCCGCGAAACAUCACUUCGCAUCCUGCUAGUCUGGAUAGACAGCAGAAUGCGUGUUUUCUGACAUCGUAAAGAGGAGAUCGAUCCGAGUUGGGUCGUGUAGCAGAUUGCUGCGCGGAUCCUUCAUUAUCUCCGGAUCAUUUUCGGCGCUCGACGCUGACCGCAAGGUUGGCAGCGAGUUGUAAAAUGAUCCUUUUAGCGAAGCUUGACCGCCUCGCUAUCGGAACGAUCUUACGAAGCAAGCUGGUCUUUCUAGUCAAUGUCCGGCUGCGACAAUCGUAUCUUCGAGGGUACGUGCCUUUAGUGGGCAAUUGCGCAGACAACAUUCUGCCGAGUGUGUGGACAUUGAUAAUGAGAGCAUCAAGUGCCUUAACGGUGUUCGGUGGAAUGCCUUGACGCUGAGAGGCGAUGAAGGACGUGCUACGCUGCGAUAAGCCGUGGGAGCUGCGAAGAAGCUUUGAUCCGCGGAUUUCCGAAUGGGG
rnacentral:misc_RNA from 1 species